UACGGAGGGUGCAAGCGUUAUCCGGAUUCACUGGGUUUAAAGGGUGCGUAGGCGGACAGGAAAGUCCGUGGUGAAAUCCUGCAGCUUAACUGCAGAACUGCCAUGGAUACUCUCUGUCUUGAAUAUCGUGGAGGUGAGCGGAAUAUGGUCAUGUAGCGGUGAAAUGCUUAGAGAUGACAUAGAACACCGAUUGCGAAGGCAGCUCACUACGCGGAUAUUGACGCUGAGGCACGAAAGCGUUGGGGAUCAAACAGG
rnacentral:rRNA from 1 species